rnacentral:rRNA from 1 species
CCUAAGGCGAGGCCGAAAGGCGUAGUCGAUGGGAAACGGGUUAAUAUUCCCGUACUUGGUGUUACUGCGAAGGGGGGACGGAGAAGGCUAUGUUGGCCGGGCGACGGUUGUCCCGGUUUAAGCGUGUAGGUGUGUGUUCCAGGUAAAUCCGGUUCACUUUAACACUGAGGCGUGACGACGAGGCACUACGGUGCUGAAGCAACAAAUGCCCUGCUUCCAGGAAAAGCCUCUAAGCAUCAGGUAACAUCAAAUCGUACCCCAAACCGACACAGGUGGUCAGGUAGAGAAUACCAAGGCGCUUGAGAGAACUCGGGUGAAGGAACUAGGCAAAAUGGUGCCGUAACUUCGGGAGAAGGCACGCUGACACGUAGGUGAAGUGAUUUACUCAUGGAGCUGAAGUCAGUCGAAGAUACCAGCUGGCUGCAACUGUUUAUUAAAAACACAGCACUGUGCAAACACGAAAGUGGACGUAUACGGUGUGACGCCUGCCCGGUGCCGGAAGGUUAAUUGAUGGGGUCAGCGCAAGCGAAGCUCCUGAUCGAAGCCCCGGUAAACGGCGGCCGUAACUAUAACGGUCCUAAGGUAGCGAAAUUCCUUGUCGGGUAAGUUCCGACCUGCACGAAUGGCGUAAUGAUGGCCAGGCUGUCUCCACCCGAGACUCAGUGAAAUUGAACUCGCUGUGAAGAUGCAGUGUACCCGCGGCAAGACGGAAAGACCCCGUGAACCUUUACUAUAGCUUGACACUGAACAUUGAGCCUUGAUGUGUAGGAUAGGUGGGAGGCUUUGAAGUGUGGACGCCAGUCUGCAUGGAGCCGACCUUGAAAUACCACCCUUUAAUGUUUGAUGUUCUAACGUGGACCCGUUACCCGGGUUGCGGACAGUGUCUGGUGGGUAGUUUGACUGGGGCGGUCUCCUCCUAAAGAGUAACGGAGGAGCACGAAGGUUGGCUAAUCCUGGUCGGACAUCAGGAGGUUAGUGCAAUGGCAUAAGCCAGCUUGACUGCGAGCGUGACGGCGCGAGCAGGUGCGAAAGCAGGUCAUAGUGAUCCGGUGGUUCUGAAUGGAAGGGCCAUCGCUCAACGGAUAAAAGGUACUCCGGGGAUAACAGGCUGAUACCGCCCAAGAGUUCAUAUCGACGGCGGUGUUUGGCACCUCGAUGUCGGCUCAUCACAUCCUGGGGCUGAAGUAGGUCCCAAGGGUAUGGCUGUUCGCCAUUUAAAGUGGUACGCGAGCUGGGUUUAGAACGUCGUGAGACAGUUCGGUCCCUAUCUGCCGUGGGCGCUGGAGAACUGAGGGGGGCUGCUCCUAGUACGAGAGGACCGGAGUGGACGCAUCACUGGUGUUCGGGUUGUCAUGCCAAUGGCACUGCCCGGUAGCUAAAUGCGGAAGAGAUAAGUGCUGAAAGCAUCUAAGCACGAAACUUGCCCCGA